rnacentral:lncRNA from 1 species
AUCUCCACCACUAAGAGACAGUAUUUACCCACAAUGCCCUGAGUUAGCUAUAGACCAUCUAUCACCACCACUAAGAGACAGUAUUUACCCAGUAUUUACCCACAAUGCCCUGAGUUAGCUCUAGACCAUCUACUCCACCACUAAGAGACAGUAUUUACCCACAAUGCCCCUGAUUAGCUCUAGUCCAUCUAUCUCCACCACUAAGAGACAGUAUUUACCCAGUAUUUACCCACAAUGCCCUGAGUUAGCUCUAGACCAUCUAUCUCCACCACUAAGAGACAGUAUUUACCCAGUAUUUACCCACAAUGCCCCUGAGUUAGCUCUAGACCAUCUAUCUCCACCACUAAGAGACAGUAUUUACCCACAAUGCCCCUGAGUUAGCUCUAGACCAUCUAUCUCCACCACUAAGAGACAGUAUUUACCCACAAUGCCCUGAGUUAGCUAUAGACCAUCUACUCCACCACUAAGAGACAGUAUUUACCCACAAUGCCCCUGAGUUAGCUCUAGACCAUCUAUCUCCACCACUAAGAGACAGUAUUUAACCAGUAUUUACCCACAAUGCCCUGAGUUAGCUCUAGACCAUCUAUCUCCACCACUAAGAGACAGUAUUUACCCAGUAUUUACCCACAAUGCCCCUGAGUUAGCUCUAGACCAUCUAUCUCCACCACUAAGAGACAGUAUUUACCCAGUAUUUACCCACAAUGCCCCUGAGUUAGCUCUAGACCAUCUACUCCACCACUAAGAGACAGUGUUUACCCAGUAUUUACCCACAAUGCCCCUGAGUUAGCUCUAGACCAUCUAUCUCCACCACUAAGAGACAGUAUUUACCCAGUAUUUACCCACAAUGCCCCUGAGUUAGCUCUAGUCCAUCUAUCUCCACCACUAAGAGACAGUGUUUACCCACUAUGUUACUACUAACAGCCUAGAGAUCACCAGCACUGAGAGGAAGUGGUCACAAACAACACACACGCGCGCGCAAGCAUGUACACUCACACGCGCGCACACGCACAGAGAUUGAGAGAAGAGGUGGAAAGAGAGCAAAAGAGAAAGAGAAAAAUGGAGCGAGAGAGAGAGAAGAUGCAAGUCCUGACAGGGGAAAGAGAUGAGAACUCUGCACAAGUACUGACUUGUCCACAAAACACGCUGCUGUCUUCAGAGUUCAACUGACUUCCUGAAAAUGUAACCACGAG